ensembl:lncRNA
AAGAACCGCUACAAGGAAUGAAUGAGGAGUGAGAUGAACUUGCUAGAUGAUUGGAAGAUGAAUAGUCACCGUCAAGCUCUUGGAGAAGAAGUACUUAGCCAGCCUGCUGACCUUUUAAUGAGUUUCAAAUGAUGUCAUUGGAAUGUAUCUGCCUCACCAGCCUUCCUGGGAAGUAUCCAUUUCAAGGGGAAAGGCAGUUGAAUACUGGAAGAUGGGAUACAAAUAAGACCAGCAUUCUCACCAGCCAGAUAGAGGCAUGAACCACUUCUGCUGUUAAAUUCUGAAUUCCUCUUGGUGAGGGAACAAAUAAGAUGAGAAAGCCAAAGCAUGUGAAUAUGGAGACUUUCCCAUCAGAACAUAAACUCCAUGAGCUCGGGAACUGCAUCUGUCUUGUUUAGUGAUGUAUCAAGAAGUACCUGCCUGGUAAGUAAUAAGUAUUCAGUAAUGCUAUCUGACAGGGAGGCCUGGCGUGCUGCAAUUCAUGGGGUCGCAAAGAGUCAGACACGACUGAGAGACUGAACUGAACUGAACUGAACAGAAUGCUAUCUGAGGCUUCCCUGGUGGCUCAGAUGGUAGAGUCUGCAAUGCUAUCUGAAGCAGUGAGUGAAAAAUCUGACCUCUCCUGGUGUGGAC